AUUGAACGCUGGCGGCAGGCCUAACACACGCAAGUCGAGCGGAUGAAGGGAGCUUGCUCCUGGAUUCAGCGGCGGACGGGUGAGUAAUGCCUAGGAAUCUGCCUGGUAGUGGGGGAUAACGUCCGGAAACGGGCGCUAAUACCGCAUACGUCCUGAGGGAGAAAGUGGGGGAUCUUCGGACCUCACGCUAUCAGAUGAGCCUAGGUCGGAUUAGCUAGUUGGUGGGGUAAAGGCCUACCAAGGCGACGAUCCGUAACUGGUCUGAGAGGAUGAUCAGUCACACUGGAACUGAGACACGGUCCAGACUCCUACGGGAGGCAGCAGUGGGGAAUAUUGGACAAUGGGCGAAAGCCUGAUCCAGCCAUGCCGCGUGUGAAGAAGGUCUUCGGAUUGUAAAGCACUUUAAGUUGGGAGGAAGGGCAGUAAGUUAAUACCUUGCUGUUUUGACGUUACCAACAGAAUAAGCACCGGCUAACUUCGUG
rnacentral:rRNA from 1 species